AGAUUGAUUUUUUAUUUGUCUCUUAUCUGUUCCAUCAACAGCAAUUUCACUCACAAAUGGCCUAUUUCUGUGUGAAUUUACAAACUUUGUGCUGAUUCUUUUUUUUUUUCUUGAAUAUUCUCUUAAGAGUGGGUUAUUGAUGCAAGAUAGCGGCGGCUAUUGUGUAUAAUUUUUGUUUGCUUCGUUAUAAAUCCUGGUGGAGGGAAUUAUUCGUAUUAUUGUUAUUAUCUAAUUUGGGACCUUGAGAAAGAUGGAUUUUGAUUUAGUACAGAGAUGCUUUUAUUCAGCAGAAUGUAUGCAGUUAUUUGGUAUAGUGGAAAAUUUUACGAAAGGACAAGGGUUUAAAAUUUCAGUGUCGGAUUUAUGUUUGAUAAUCCUAAAAUAUUAGAUGAACACAACACUUCUCCACCUCCUUCUCCUCUAGAGUCGGACUAUUUCUUCUUGCUAACAAGGUGGACUAUCAUUAAUUGAAUGUUAGAGCCGUGUCUGAUGUUUGCUGUUUCAUUGGCUGACAGUUCGGAUAUUGAAGUCGACGAUCUCAGGUGUGACAACAUUGCAGAGAAGGAUGUUAGUGAUGAAGAAAUUGAAGCUGAAGAGUUGGAGAAGAGAAUGUGGAAGGAUCGAGUCAAGCUCAGAAGGAUUAAGGAAAAUCAAAAGUUUGCAGCCCAACAAGCUGCAGAGAAGCAAAAGCCCAAGCAGACCUCUGAUCAGGCACGAAGAAAGAAAAUGUCAAGAGCCCAAGAUGGAAUUCUCAAGUAUAUGUUGAAACUAAUGGAAGUGUGCAAAGCGCGUGGAUUUGUGUAUGGGAUCAUUCCUGAGAAGGGUAAGCCGGUCAGUGGUUCAUCUGAUAAUAUAAGAGCUUGGUGGAAAGAAAAGGUAAAGUUUGAUAAGAAUGGGCCAGCAGCCAUAGCAAAAUAUGAAGCAGAGUGUUUAGCCAUUGUGGAGGCAGAUAAAAAUCGAAAUGGAAACUCCCAAAGUGUUCUUCAAGACCUGCAAGAUGCAACUUUGGGAUCUCUUUUGUCUUCUUUAAUGCAGCACUGUGAUCCCCCUCAAAGGAAGUAUCCAUUGGAGAAAGGAGUUCCACCGCCUUGGUGGCCAACUGGGGAUGAAGAAUGGUGGGUAAAAUUAGGAUUACCACAAGGUCAGAGUCCUCCCUAUAAGAAACCCCAUGAUUUAAAGAAAAUGUGGAAAGUUGGGGUCUUAACUGCUGUAAUAAAACACAUGUCGCCUGAUAUUGCAAAAAUCCGGAGGCAUGUCCGCCAAUCAAAAUGCUUACAGGAUAAGAUGACAGCAAAGGAGAGUGCAAUUUGGUUGAGUGUCUUGAGUCGAGAGGAAUCCCUCAUUCAACAGCCAAGCAGUGAUAAUGGCACUUCUGGUAUAACUGAAAUGCCUCAAGGUGGACGUGGUGAAAAGAAGCGACCUGCUGUUAGUAGCGACAGUGAUUAUGAUGUUGAUGCUGUUGAUGAUGGUGUUGGUUCUGUUUCAUCCAAAGAUAACAGGAGAAAUGCAACAACGGAAGUGGAGGCACUAAGCAUUGUUCAAAAUGAGAAUCCUGAUGCUGUCCAAGAUAAGGAGCCAGCGGAAAAGCAACCAAAGAGAAAAAGGCCUCGUGGAAAAUCUAGCCAUGCUGAUCAACAGUCUGGACCACAUCUUAAUAAGCAUUCAUUUGCUGAGGAUGCUAGAAACACUGUGCCUGAUAUAAACACUGCUGAUUUAGCAGCAGUGGAAUGUCAGAUUAAUGGCAUUGAAGAGGAAAACGAUCCAUAUACUGUUUUGAGGCCUUCAGAGAAAGGCCUUGAAAGUGGAUCCAGUCUUCCGCCAUCCGAAUUUAACUACUUCCCUGCCGUUCCUUCUGCCAACGUUGAUCCUAUGGGGAGCAUGCAUGUGGAUGGAAGCUCCAUGUUUUUCUCUGUCUUACAAAAUACAGAGUUGCAUCAUGGAUCUGCUUAUGAUAUGUAUAAUCCAUCCAUUGACUUUGGGCCUACUCCCGAUGCACGGCAGUCUCAAAUUACAAUGGAUGCACCUCAGGUCAGAUCUCAAGAUGAUGGAGGCCAUGCAUCAGCUCUACAUAGGGAUGGAAAUGAGAUCAUUGGAGGAGAGUUGCAUCAGUUAGAUAAGGAUAGGCCUUUUGGGUCUCCGCCUCCACUACAUAGCUUGUCAUUAGAAUUCGGAGGAAUCCCUAGUCCAUAUAAUUUUGAAAUUGAAGAAUUCUUACUUGAUGAUGAGUUGAUCCAAUGCUUUGGUGCAUAGUUUUCAGAAUUGAUAUUUCAGAUUCAUAUUGGACUGCUGAAAAUGCAGCAGGUGGAUAUGCUGACAUUCAGUUUAUCUGCACAUGGGCAUUUCGAGACGAAGCCCUCCCCACAAAAGUCCUUUUCCUUCCCAUGACUCAUUAUUAGGGAAAUGAAGGCAGAUACCAUAAAAGAGGCCGAGGAGUAUUCAAUUCCAUUCAAGCCAACGCUCCGAUUCAGGCUAUUUCCAAAGCCGCCACUGUCCGUACGAGGAUGUCUGUCUCCAGGUGCCACCUGUGAACAACGGAAUGGUCCUUAUUCUCCUUAAGACGUACAGGGGCGAUUUCGAUAUUUACAAAGAAACGCGAUAUCAACUGGUCGUCAGCCGCAUCAGCAUCAGCAUCACCGUGCUGAUAAAAACAUCAUUCAAAGGGCUUCAUUUCGUGUUUCCAUGUUUUGCUUCUUUUCUCUCUUUUUCAAACGCUCUCUUUCCGUUUGGCUUGCAGCUCCCAGCGGCCGGGAUCAUAAAAUGGCGUGUGGAAAACCUAUAUCGAGCUUUUCAAUCUUCAUGACCAUUUUCAUGGUGGUUUUUGUAUCAGUUGUCCAUUCUUCUCGUACCCGGUUACAGGGUGGAGUACCAGCAGAUGAUAAAGCUAUACCUACACAGGUACUGAAAGAAAGACUACAGCUUUUAGCCAUAAUAAAAAUAAGCACAAGAUCGAAAAGAAAAAGACACACAUUUUUGCGUCCCUUUUUUUUAUAGAAUCACUCUUGAAUGGGAUCUUGAGAGCCAUCUAGUUAAGAGUCUGGUGAAGGGAGCUUCAAGUGUAGUUGCGGAGGACUCGGCGAGGGAAGUGCCAACAGGACCAGAUCCUCUUCACCACAACAACCACCCCACGAAGCCAUGAGCUCUGUGGAAAAAAAAAUCCUGUUUUGAUGGGUCUUUGCACUUAUUAGCAGUGGAUUUCACAUCAGUUUUAUCUCUUUUUGCCUCUUCUGCUACAUUGACACUCACUGUGUAUAGUUAACACAUAGGUUGAUGGUAGCUGUCAAUGUGGUUGAUCUCUCUCUUUUUUUAGUUUCCUUUGUCUUUGGAAAGAGCCAUACUAUUAAAUGAGUUUAAUUAUUUUGUGUUGAUAUCGGUUAACCACAUGAAUUUUUCAUCUUAUACACGUCCA